AUGAGAAUAUGAGAAUAAAUAGGGGAACACUGCGAUGAAGCGGUGUUCCCUUAUUUGUUUCCCUCAGUAUAUGUUCAGCGAAAAAGGAUUUG